AGCCGCUAAACCCCCCUAAACUUCUUAGGUGACCUCGGAUCA
rnacentral:rRNA from 1 species